rnacentral:rRNA from 1 species
UGGGGAAUAUUGCACAAUGGAGGGAACUCUGAUGCAGCGACGCCGCGUGAGUGAUGAAGGAAUUCGUUUCGUAAAACUCUGUUCUAUGGGAAGAAAAGGACUGUACCAUAGGAGAAAGCUCCGGCUAAAUACGUGCCAGCAGCCGCGGUAAUACGUAUGGAGCGAGCGUUGUCCGGAAUUAUUGGGCGUAAAGGGUGCGCAGGCGGCUUUACAAGUUGGAUGUGAAAUAUUGUGGCUCAACCACAAACGUGCAUCCAAAACUGCAAAGCUUGAGUUAAGGAGAGGUAAGUGGAAUUCCUGGUGGAGCGGUGGAAUGCGUAGAUAUCAGGAGGAAUAACGGUGGCGAAGGCGACUUACUGGACUUAAACUGACGCUCAGGCACGAAAGCGUGGGGAGCAAACAGG